UACGUAGGUGGCAAGCGUUGUCCGGAUUUACUGGGUGUAAAGGGCGCGUAGGCGGGAAUGCAAGUCAGGAGUGAAAUCUAUGGGCUCAACCCAUAAAUUGCUUUUGAAACUGCAUUUCUUGAGUGUCGGAGAGGUAGAUGGAAUUCCUAGUGUAGCGGUGAAAUGCGUAGAUAUUAGGAGGAACACCAGUGGCGAAGGCGAUCUACUGGACGAUAACUGACGCUGAGGCGCGAAAGCGUGGGGAGCAAAC
rnacentral:rRNA from 1 species